AGUCAUUAUAUCCUCUGUAUGUGAUGUGUGACUGCUAAGCUUAGUUGUUUAACUGAAACUCUACUAGGUAUUAUUUUCUCGCUUAUAAACUGGAGGCAGUGAUGUGCUGCUGGGCUUUUUGCUUUAAGGCCAUCAAGUAUGGACAAUGAAGCCCUUUUGAAAUCCGGUCAGUGCUAUAACGUAAGAACACAUGGAGGCUUAUUUGGUAGAUGAAAUAAAGAGAAACUGUUUCCAGUACCAGAGUGUCAGGAGCCAAAGGACAAAGAAUUAAAGUGAUCAGCAAAAGAGCCAGAGAUUCCAUCAACUCUUGCCCACUCCUCUGGGCAGACUCAUCCCUCAGGCAUCAGGAGGAGGAGGUGUCUGAGGAAGUACCAUUAUAUCUGACCAGUCCACAUUCCGC